rnacentral:tRNA from 1 species
GCAGCCGUGGCCGAGUGGUUAAGGUGAUGGACUAGAAAUCCAUUGCGAUCCAUUGCACAGGUUCGAAUUCUGUCGACUGCG